UUGAAAUUGGUGCCACCGUGGAAAACAGAGAGAAGAAUACUGCGUACAAGUAUGCUGUAAAUAGAGGAGAGAAAGAAAAGAGUGAAAAAGGUGAGAUGAGGAUGUUGGCGACAUCUUCCUUGUAAGUGUUGUGGGCAGACCGGAGCCGCC